AAGUGAGUUUAAACAUAAUUUCUGAACUAAAAGAAUCUUACCACAAAGCCAUGGCAGGGAAAUGUGAGUUUGCUAAUUUGGCUUUUUUUUCCCUUCCCUUCCUCUGAGAGCUGCUAGUGUUGGCACUGGUUACCUGCCUUACCCAGGCAAGGCCUUCUGUGAUGAUGAGAUUUGCAAUCCACCUUGAGCAGGCAACUGGAAAGAUGAUCAGAUUAGCAGUUUCUUAUAAAAAUACACAUAAAUAACAACUCUCACCAUCUAACAUUAUCCCACCUGACAAGAAAAGUGGAUUGUGAUUAAAACUUCUAAGAAUAGAAACAAGUUUGGGCUGGUUUCUGUUCUCAUGAGGGUCUGCUCAGGGACUGAAGCAAGGAGAAGGAAGUUAGCCCGGCGGGGACGAAAGUUGGCCAUGCCCACACACUGUACUUCAGUAGUUUUCCAACACUCUGUAAAGCUUACUUCAGUGGCUUUCCUCUGCCUGUGAUGGUGGAACGGGUAUUUUUGCAGUUUUGGUUUAAAAAAAAAAAACAACCUGCACAAAUUAACAAAGACAGUGCAUUGGAGCAAAAAUCUCAAUCUGGGCACACCCUCUCAUCAGGGAGGGUAAAUAAACAGCUUUUCUCUAUUUUCAGCUCUCAUUCUUCACAUUCAAACUCCACCCAUUGUACCAGUCACCCCCAAAAGAAUCAGCAGGUCUUCUGGUAGAUGUAUAAAACCAGAACAAGUCACACUAUCACAUAGUGUGCUAUACAUCACCAGGUGCUCAACAUUAUCAAAGAGAGGACUUUCAACAGGUGUCAGAAGCCACAAUGUCAGGUAAAAGCUUCCAGGGACUGAAGGAACAAGCUGAAGGUGCAGCAAAAGAUGCUGCCAACACAUUGGGACAAGCCACUCAGGAUGCAGUCAACCAGAUUACAGAUGCAAGCCAGAAAGCUUUUGACAAGGCUUCCAAGACAGCACAAGAUGGAGUAGAAAAGGUGGCUGGACAGGCUGCAGAAGCAAUGUCUGGCUUCGGGAAAAAAUGUGGAUUUAAAAAAUGAUGCUAAUUCAAGUCAACAGUACUGCUUGUAUAAAUCUCUUUGGUCUGCUAUUAGCUACUUCUUUGUGUAGAAAAAUGAAAACUGUUUGAUAUCUGGAUAAUUUUGUUCUCUUCAAAUACAAAUUUUUAAGGCAGAAGGUCCCCCUCAUCCUUUACAUAGAAAAAUUACAUAUUUUGGCACCAUUGCUCACAAUCGUCAACAUGGCUCAAAAGGCUUCAGCAGUGCUGUUCCCCUGCUCUUACAACAGCUCAGUGAUUAUUGCCACAUUUGCUGAGUGUAUUUACAAAGCCAGUGAAACUGUUCAUAAUUAGGACACCAGAAUAGUCAUGUGAUGAAACUGAGUCUUCUUCCAAUAAUCAAAACUUAAGCUGCGGUUAUAUGUCUUGUCAGUUGUUUGUUUGUUCCCAUCCUCUGCAUUUUUAGAUAAAGAUAAAUAAAGGUGUGUAAGAUUUCCA
rnacentral:lncRNA from 1 species